rnacentral:rRNA from 1 species
GUGGGGAAUAUUGGACAAUGGGCGAAAGCCUGAUCCAGCCAUGCCGCGUGUGUGAAGAAGGCCUUUUGGUUGUAAAGCACUUUAAGCGAGGAGGAGGCUCUUAAGGUUAAUACCCUUGAUGAGUGGACGUUACUCGCAGAAUAAGCACCGGCUAACUCUGUGCCAGCAGCCGCGGUAAUACAGAGGGUGCGAGCGUUAAUCGGAUUUACUGGGCGUAAAGUGCGCGUAGGUGGCCAAUUAAGUCAAAUGUGAAAUCCCCGAGCUUAACUACGGAAUUGCAUUGGAUACUGGUUGGCUAGAGUAUGGGAGAGGAUGGUAGAAUUCCAGGUGUAGCGGUGAAAUGCGUAGAGAUCUGGAGGAAUACCGAUGGCGAAGGCAGCCAUCUGGCCUAAUACUGACACUGAGGUGCGAAAGCAUGGGGAGCAAACAGGAUUAGAUACCCUGGUAGUCC